AUCGAACGCUGGCGGCAGGCCUAACACAUGCAAGUCGAACGAGUGGCGGACGGGUGAGUAAUGUCUGGGAAACUGCCUGAUGGAGGGGGAUAACUAUUGGAAACGGUAGCUAAUACCGCAUACCAUCAGAUGUGCCCCGCUGGGAUUAGCUAGUUGGUGAGGUAACGGCUCACCAAGGCGACGAUCCCUAGCUGGUCUGAGAGGAUGACCAGCCACACUGGAACUGAGACACGGUCCAGACUCCUACGGGAGGCAGCGGUGGAGAAGAUUGCGCAAUGGGCGAAAGCCUGAUGCAGCCAUGCCGCGUGUAUGAAGAAGGCCUGCGGGUUGUAAAGUACUUUCAGCGGGGAGGCGUUACCCGCAGAAGAAGCACCGACUAACUCCGUGCCAGCCGCCGCGGUAAUUC
rnacentral:rRNA from 1 species